rnacentral:rRNA from 1 species
AUACGUAGGUGGCAAGCGUUGUCCGGAAUUACUGGGCGUAAAGGAUGCGUAGGCGGCCUCUUAAGUGGGAUGUGAAAUGCCGGGGCUUAACCCCGGAACUGCAUUCCAUACUGGGAGGCUAGAGUGCAGGAGAGGAAAGUGGAAUUCCCAGUGUAGCGGUGAAAUGCGUAGAGAUUGGGAGGAACACCAGUGGCGAAGGCGGCUUUCUGGACUGUAACUGACGCUGAGGCAUGAAAGUGUGGGGAGCAAACAGGAUUAGAUACCCUGGUAGUCCACACCGUAAACGAUGGGCACUAGGUGUAGGGGGCGUAGCCCUCUGUGCCGCAGUUAACACAUUAAGUGCCCCGCCUGGGGAGUACGAUCGCAAGAUUAAA